AUUUUCUGCCACCGAAUACAUUAGCAUGGGAUAAUGGAAUAGGACCCUGUCCUCCUAUUUUCAGUUGGUUUUGGCAGCGCGAGGACUAGGGUAAUGAUUAAUAGGGAUAGUUGGGGGCAUUAAUAUUUAAUUGUCAGAGGUGAAAUUCUUGGAUUUAUGAAAGAUUAACUUCUGCGAAAGCAUCUGCCAAGGAUGUUUUCAUUAAUCAAGAACGAAAGUUAGGGGAUCGAAGACGAUCAGAUACCGUCGUAGUCUUAACCAUAAACGAUGCCGACCAGCGAUUAGGAGACGUUGAAUACAAAACACCACCAUCGGUGCGGUCGUCCUUGGCGUUGGUCUUCAAAAGCCAGCGCGGGGGUGGCUUAGCCCGGUGGCACCGGUGAAUGACUC
rnacentral:rRNA from 1 species